GUGAGAGAGAGAGAGAGAGAAAGAGAGAGAGAGAUUGGGGCGGAGGGAGGAAGGGGGAAUCCUCUGCUUCCCAAGAGGGAGUCAAUAAUUAAAAUGCAUCAGUCAGGAAAAUGAUUCCCUCCCUCCCUCACUCUCUCUCUCUCUCUCUCUCUCUCUCUCUCUCUCUCUCU